rnacentral:rRNA from 1 species
UGAGGAAUAUUGGUCAAUGGGGGCAACCCUGAACCAGCCAAGUCGCGUGAAGGAUGAAGGUCUUAUGGAUUGUAAACUUCUUUUACACGGGAAUAAAGUGGGGGACGUGUCCCCCUUUGCAUGUACCGUGUGAAUAAGGAUCGGCUAACUCCGUGCCAGCAGCCGCGGUAAUACGGAGGAUCCGAGCGUUAUCCGGAUUUAUUGGGUUUAAAGGGUGCGCAGGCGGGAUGUUAAGUCGGCGGUGAAAUUUUGCAGCUCAACUGUAAAAGUGCCUUCGAUACUGGCCUCCUUGAGUGUGGAUGAAGUAGGCGGAAUUUGUGGUGUAGCGGUGAAAUGCUUAGAUAUCACGAGGAACUCCGAUUGCGCAGGCAGCUUACUAAGCCACAACUGACGCUCAUGCACGAAGGCGUGGGGA